AGAGUUUGAUCCUGGCUCAGGACGAACGCUGGCGGCGUGCCUAACACAUGCAAGUCGAGCGAUGAAAUCCUUCGGGAUGGAUUAGCGGCGGACGGGUGAGUAACACGUGGGUAACCUGCCUCAAAGAGGGGAAUAGCCUUCCGAAAGGAAGAUUAAUACCGCAUAAUAUGUUUUGGUCGCAUGACUAGAACAUCAAAGGAGCAAUCCGCUUUGAGAUGGACCCGCGGCGCAUUAGCUAGUUGGUGAGGUAACGGCUCACCAAGGCGACGAUGCGUAGCCGACCUGAGAGGGUGAUCGGCCACAUUGGAACUGAGACACGGUCCAGACCCCUACGGGAGGCAGCAGUGGGGAAUAUUGCGCAAUGGGGGAAACCCUGACGCAGCAACGCCGCGUGAAUGAUGAAGGCCUUCGGGUUGUAAAGUUCUGUCUUCUGGGACGAUAAUGACGACCAGAGAGA
rnacentral:rRNA from 1 species